rnacentral:lncRNA from 1 species
GAACUUCUUGGCAUGCUGGAUUUAUCCAGCAAGAAAAAGAAAUAGAGGGAAGACAUUGGCUGAUGAUCUCUCGCUUGUAGACUUAGUUGCUUAAUUGCCAAUGAGGGAGAGAUGCUGCUUGCAGGGAAAAUGAUGGAAAUUAGUUGAGGUUGAGGGGAAAAGAAGAUGGAACAGAAAUAGAAGACUUGAAGAGGACUCCUUGGAGAAGUUCACAUGACAUUCUGUUUGACAUAAAAUCAGCAUGUGUCCCAAGUAAAUCAACAACAGCUGUUUUAAAUAGCAGAUUGUAUUUCAAAAUAUCAUUAUGAACCAGGGGAAGAAUUGCAUGGAUGCCUGUGUCUCCAGAUUACAGUGAUGGAACCUAGCAUCUGGACAUUAUGGCCCUGGGCAGACAGAUCUCAGAGUUGGCUGGAAGAUGGUUGUCUAUUUAAUGAAACAGUGAUCUUUAGGGGGAAAUUUUUUUCAUGAUUCAUGGGUUAAAAAUGCCAGCAAAAAAGAAUGAAAGGAAAAAAGGCUCGGUUACAUUCAGAGGAGUCAUGCUUCUGUUGGCUAAAGCUUCUACUCAGAAUCCUGUGCAUUUCUCUAAAUGGGGUAGCAAAGCAGUUUAAUACUAGUCUGUUCACUUCAAAAGUACUCAUACCAAUAAACUAAGUAAGAUUCAGUACCCAUCCCCACAAGAGUUCUUAGAUAACAUGAUGGACUAACUGUAUUACACUGUGUCACUAAGAAAGUGUAGAUUCUGUGACCUACAGGUUGUUCCAGGCACAGGAUGGACCUGGCUGCACUUUUCAGUCUCUCUUGUUGUCCCCCACUGGUUAAAAUUCCUUCGGCAAUGCCAGCAGCACUUCUCCCUGCUCUGAUUUUAGGCCUCAGAGGAGAAUUUAGGCAUUUCCCCUUCACGUCCUAAUAAAUGCUUCUUUGAACAACCUGCUUCCAUGAUGCUGCCAAGUGAGCCUUUCCUGUUGGCACAACCCCACUGAGUUGCAGGGCAACAGCUUCAUCCUGUGGUGGCACAUGCAAAUUUCAGAAUCUCCAUAGCCGGACCAGUGUGCCUGACCCAGGUGGGCACCCAUUUCCUGGAGAGUCUCCUGUCUUAUUUGCAGGCUUGCUGAAGGGUCCAUCAUUACAUUGCAUGACUGAAAGUGCAACUGUCAUGACUCCUGGCUCUCUGCAGGCCUUGUCCAUUGUGCACAAUAUUAUGAGUCCUGUGGUCAGCCUUAGUACCUCAGGGAACUGCUGGACUUGAUCUCAUGCUCUAGAUUCACUAUGGCCUCACCAUGCUGUCUUUAGAUUGACAACUCUAGCAGGCUAGCCUGCUCACAUAUCCAGUCUCUAGGCCCAGGUGCUACCUUCUGUACCUAUACUUCUAGCCUGCAGAGCAACCCCUCCAUAAGCCUCUAAUACCCAGCCA